GAUGAAUGCUAGCUACAGGCUUAACACAUGCAAGUCGAGGGGCAGCAUGAACAUAGCUUGCUAUGUUUGAUGGCGACCGGCGCACGGGUGCGUAACACGUAUCCAAUCUACCCAUUGCUCGGGGCUAGCCUUUCGCAAGAAAGAUUAAUACCCGAUGGUCUCGGUUUAAGGCAUCUUAGACUGAGUAAAGCUUUAUCGGCGAUGGAUGAGGAUGCGUCUGAUUAGGUAGAGGGCGGGGUAACGGCCCACCAUGCCUACGAUCAGUAGGGGUUCUGAGAGGAAGGUCCCCCACAUUGGAACUGAGACACGGUCCAAACUCCUACGGGAGGCAGCAGUGAGGAAUAUUGGUCAAUGGACGAGAGUCUGAACCAGCCAAGUAGCGUGAAGGAUGACUGCCCUAUGGGUUGUAAACUUCUUUUGUUUGGGAAUAAAGUUCGGGACGUGUCCCGUUUUGUAUGUACCAUUCGAAUAAGCAUCGGCUAAUUCCGUGCCAGCAGCCGCAGUAAAAC
rnacentral:rRNA from 1 species